rnacentral:rRNA from 1 species
GAAAAGAACUUUGAAGAGAGAGUUCAAGAGNNNGUGAAACCGUUCAGGGGUAAACCUGAGAAACCCAAAAGAUCGAAUGGGGAGAUUCAUCGACGACGAAGCUGGCUCCCGUUGGCGUGCGAUUCCCCCGUUGGGACCUCGGUUCCAGAACGCGGGGUACACCCCUUCGGCGAAUAACCGGCGACGUAGUCGUGCACUUCUCCCUUAGUAGAACGUCGCGACCCGUUGUGUGUCGGUCUACGGCCUGGGCUAUUUGCCUGUCGCGGUGGCAUUCGUUCGCUCGCGGCAGAGGCUCGGUCGCCCGGCCGGCUGCACGACGGUACUCCGACGGUAUCGGGCCGCAACCAAUCCAUUCUCGAAUGGUAUAUGCGUCCAGGCCCGUCGCAAGCUCGGACAGCACCCGGAGCGUGUGGACGCAGCGCCCUCCCCGGGUCUGGCCAGCUGUUAGCAGACGGUGUCCUCGGACCGGCCAAGCUUCGAAUUACCGGUCAGCGACGCUAUUGCUUUGGGUACUCUCAGGACCCGUCUUGAAACACGGACCAAGGAGUCUAACAUGUGCGCGAGUCAUUGGGACAUUGAAACCUAAAGGCGGAAAUGAAAGUGAAAGUCGUCGUAAGCGUCGACCAAGGGAGGAUGGGCCGCGUCACGUCGCGGCCUCGCACUCCCGGGGCGUCUCGUUCUCGUUGAGAAGAGGCGCACCCAGAGCGUACACGUU